UCUGCCCCCAGCCGUUCCUGCCCGUCCCUGCUUUCCCAAGAUCCUGUCUCCUUCAACACGUUCCCUCCCUCCUUCCCUCACUCAUGGCAGACUCCGAUGACUGCGGUUCCCCGUGUUCUUCAAACGGCCCGGAAAAUGCAGAAAACGACCUGCAGCCAUUCUUCGUUCUCCAUAAGGGCCGAAAGUUGGGAACGAGUUCUUCGAAGUCGAAGAAAACCAGACGGAAGAUAGCGUGGCCACCGAUAUGUAACGGGCGAGAGGCUUCGGAGGACGGUGACAAUGCGUCAUUCUACCAGGAACUAAGGCUCGAAGCAUUUGAAUCUGUUUGGGGGAAAAUUGAGGCGGGCAUUAGGGAUGUGUUGACACGCAUUAACGCCAACCUUUUUGAGGAGAUACACGAUUGGGUGAAUAAAUCAUUUGCUGCUAUCAAAGCAUCCUUUAGCUGCAGUCUAUCUGAAGUGAUAAGCCCGUUUCCAGUUUUGACUAAUAACAUCUGUAGGCAAUUGUUCACCGCCUUUGUGUUUACCAAGAAUGUUGAGUUUGUUGAUGACCUACUGACGUUUAAGGAGCUUGGUCAGCAUUUAAAGUCUCGACAGUGCCAUGUAGCAAAUCUGUCAUCUCUUGAUUUUUCCGUUAAGAAUGGGAUAGGAGGCUGCAUUCGAAGUUUACUAAGACAGUUGGUUACAGUUACUUCAACCGUAGCUGAUAUCUCCAUUUUAACUUCAUGGUAUGGAGAGCCAGCAAAUUAUGAUCGCCCAAUUGUUGUCAUAAUUGAAGAAAUGGAACAAUGUGUUGGUGUUGUUUUAGCUGAGUUUAUCACAAUGCUAAGUGAGUACGUGGGUAAACUUCCCCUUAUUUUACUAAUGGGAGUUGCAACGACAGAUGAUGCUCCAAGUAAGCUGCUUCCAGCCACUGCAUUGCAGCACUUACAGCCUUGCAAGUUUGCCAUGGGAUCUCCAAUUCAGAGAAUGGAUGCUGUUAUUAAAUUUCUUCUGGAAAAUCCAUUUUGUGGAUUUAAUGUGGGAUAUGAGGUCAUACUGUUUCUGAAAAACUAUUUCUUCAAGCAUGAUGCAACUGUAGCUUCCUUUUUGAGGGCUUUAAAGAUUGCAUGUGCCAAGCACUUCUGUUUGGAGCCAUUGAGUUUCCUAUGCAAAGGUGCAACUGAUGAAAACUGUCAGGAAUUCUGGAAUAGGGCUUGCAAUGCAUUGCCUCAGGACAUGCUAGAUUAUGCUUCCAGCCUUCCAUCCUGUUCAAGGGCAUCUGUAACUAAAGGUAAUCCAAAUCAAAUGGUUGGAGAUAUUCUACCAAUUCGAUUAACAGAGCUCACAAUAUUAUGGAAUAAUUGGAGUAGUGUCGUAAUGUGCUUAUAUGAAGUUGGAUUGCUUUGCAACUUGCAACUUCUUGACAUUUACUGUGAGGCACUUGAUCCCUCUUCAUCAAAGACAAAAGGUUAUAGACAUCAAGAAGAAACUAUGAAGAGCCAGAGGUCUGCUUUAUCCCAUGAUCAAAGUGAUAACAUAAAUCUCCACAGAAUAUCUGACACAACAAAAGGGGCAAUAAUCCCUCAAAUUAUAUGUAGGAUUAGGGACCUUCCAGCAGCAUCAUUGUCUCAGUUGCUUGAAAUGUGGGAAAAAUACACCAAAGAUUUACACGAGAUCCAUGAAGCAGUUGAAGCACUAUUGAAAAAAUUCAGAGUUGAUGAUGAUGGGAAGCAACUCAAACAACAAAAGGAGGCUUCAGAUUACUUCCCUUUCUUUCCCAGCAGUAGGCUAGUCUCACAAAGGAUGUUACAUGGAAAGGGGAGUAGAAGAACACUCAAUGAGGAAGUUGCAAUGCUUGCUGAGCUUAUGAUCAGGGACUUUCUGAUUCCCAUGGAGUCUGCACCUUUUCACGAAAUUUUUUGUUUCAAAGAUGUUGGUUUGUUGCAGUCGGCUCUUAUUGGCGACCCAAGGAAGACGAUUCAAGAAGACCUCCUUAAGUGUCAAGUUCGUCUCAAUUGCAGUUGUUGUGAGAAGGGACUGGGUGACCUGUCACCUUCAAUGCAUGAUACUGCCAUUCUGUAUAUCCUUUCGCAAGAACAUGGCGAUCUUAUCAAUGUCUAUGACUGGUAUCAGUCAUUCAGGACAAUGUUUAUUAACUCACUGGGAGUUAGUAACAAAAGUGGGGCUCAAAAGUCACCGACUCCAAAAAAAAGAAAAGCUGUAAACAAGCUUAAUGCCUCAGAUGAAGCUUCCAUUCAAGCGAGGUUUUGCAGGGCAAUCUCAGAGCUUCAAGUUACUGGGCUACUGCGUAUGCCAAGCAAGAGGCGACCUGAUUAUGUUCAAAGAAUUGCUAUUGGCCUAUAAAUUGCAAGAUCCAUGACAAAACUUUGGGGCAUCCCGGCAGCAUUCAGUAGGCACUGGUGAGUCUGUUCAUGCCUCGCUUCGUCUUGCAUGGCCAGUCAACUGCAAGGGACUGUAAUUAGCCACUCACAACGGUUUGAUGCCAGCAAUGUCGUGUGAGUAUGCAGAACCAAGCUGAUGAAGACAACUAGAUGCACAAGAUGCAGGAUUCUCAUCAAUAACUUGUGAUCAACUGUUGAUUUUUAUAUUUCAAACACAUCCUUGGUGCUAAAAGGCUUGGCAAAGGCGAUUUUGUUUAACGAAAGUUCAAGGGCAAGACACUCGCAAGACUUGACGAACUGUUAUGAACACUCCCAAGGUUCUUUACUGCUCUGGCAAUCUCUCGGAACCGCCUUUUCUCCCUAACUUCUUAUCAGAAAGGACGUAACCAGCUUGGAGUACUUGAUUAUGAUAUUGACGAUUUUCUGAAGACAGAUAUAUCCAAACAUGUUUUUUUGGAAGCUUUUCUGAACACCCAAUUUUUUUUUAUAUCUAGAGCAGUCUAGCUUCAGAGGAAAAAGAAGUAAAAGUGCUUUUGUGUACAUCUCAUAUGUUUUCCUUUGAUUUUUUUCAUUGUCGCAUGUUUAA